UUUCGUUUCUGGAAAGAAAAUCGACUUAAAGGAAGAAAAAAAUAAACAAAGAAGAGUUCCUGAAACGGAAACGGAAACAUGUAAAAGUUAUUUAAGGUGCGAUUUUUUAAAACACUUGGCUCAAUAAACGAGGGCGGGGUUUGAGGUGUUCCAUCUUCCCACGCCAACAUUCGACUCCGCACGCGCUACUGAGGCUCUUCCCGCCAAAUCGUGCAACAAAACGAGCGCUGAGCCAUAAUCGUUGGGAGGAGUUCUAUCUAUUUUCUUUUUCUGGCAACUGAAACUAACUACAAGCAAAACAUAACCGAAAGGAGAGCCCAGAGAGAGAUAAAUAACAGAUUUUUAACUAAGCCAAAGCAAAAAUGUCUUCCCUGAGUAACAAAUCUGCGCAGGAAAUCAGCGACCUGCUCGAUGAAUACGGAAUAAAGCACGGACCUGUGGUCGAAUCUACGAGAAACCUGUAUGAGAAGAAACUGAAAGAGGCCAUGGCCAAAGGCAAAAGAGCCAAACCAUCACCUGACAAAACCUACUACAGAGAAGAGGAGGAGGAAGUCACCUAUGUUUACAGGACACCCACCAGAAGUGAAGGCUCAGGUGACAGUGGGGCUUACGUGAGGUCCAGACCAGAGUGGAAUGAGAGAGAUUAUCAGCACGAACAAACUUCAACCUCAAACUGCCAAGCCACUAGGUAAAAUGUAAAUAAUAACAGAAUGCAGAUCUUUUUCAUUCAAAAUACAUUACCUCUUUAAGAGUUAAGAGUUUAAAUGAAUUUCAAAUCAUUGCUUUUUUUCAUCUUUCAUCUUUUUAAAAAAAACAAGGAUAUACUUUGGUUUUAGUUUAAAGAAUCUGCAGCUCUGAACUUGUGAAAUCAAAAUAUCCAUGUCACCUUAAAGAAUCAUUUAGACUGCCAGCUCUCUAGUGCAAAGUCUGUAUGAUGUCCCAUUGCGCUUUUAUGAGAAUAGCAGAGGUAAUUGUCUCGUGGGCUCACAGGGAGUGAGUGGUUAUCUCAUGCUGUGCCUCCUGCAUGGUCUAAUAUGGCAGCUCCCUUGUGAGGAUGUGACUGAGCAAGCUAUCACCUGCUGUGUGCAGGUGCUGUUAGCUGUGAUGAUGACAGGCAUUUCCUAUGGCAUCGUUUCAAUAUGCUUACGCAGUCCCACAACAUUUAUUUCCAUCCAGAGUUGCUUUAAUUUUUUGCCAACAUCCUGUAUUGAUGACAGUAGUGUUGGACCGCGGCGUGAAGUCUUCUCUGCAUAGCUUAAAGAGUCUCAGUGGGGUUAAUGUCAGGAUUCAUGAUGUCUUGUGCUCCCCGAACCACUCUUUUAGUUUCAGUGUGAUGAACUGGAAUUGUCAUCAGGGAAGGGGAAAUCCACUGAUGGAAAAAUGCGGUCAUAACACUUAUCCAGAUAGUCAGCUGACCUCUUAAUUUGGGCACAUAACUGUGCUGAUCCUAGACCCCAGAUCAUAACAAUGCCCCCACAGGCUUGUACAGCAGGCACUAGGCAUGAUGGGUGCUUUGUCUCUUCUCACCCCGAUGAGCAAUCACUCGAGAGCAGGUUAGACCUGGACUCAUCAAACCACUUGACCUUUAUCCACGAUUACAAAUCAUGGAUAAAAUGAUGGAAAUUAUGCUCCCAAGAAAACUGAAGCCUUUUUUUCUGAUUAACCUCACUGAUAUGUUUUUCUUAAGGCUGCACACCUGUUUAGUCCUAAUCCUUUGACUUGUCUUUUAGUUGUGCAUGCGGAAAUGCUCUUACGUUCACCAUUAAACACACCCAUGAGUGUCUACUGUUGAUGUUUUUCACUAAUUGAUUUCAGCAGAUGUUUGAGUCAUCUCCAAUUAUAAUCAUUCAAGAGUUUAUUUGUUUUUUUUUUCACCUUCCUUCCAGGUUUAAAUAAUGCUCUGGAUAGUUUUAACCCAACUUUAAUAGUUUCAGCAGUCUCUUUAGUUGUUCUCUUUGCUUGCUCCAGGGCUAAUAAUUUGGCCCAUUUGGUCCUUCUUGUUUUUUCUCACAAGCACAGGAUAUGUAUUCUCACAUGGGUGUGCUUCAGUCAGGACUAAAUAGCCUGCUCCCAGCAGAAACACAUUAAUCACUGCAGUAAUUAUCCAGAGAAAGGUUCCUGCUAUUCGCUUAGUUAAAUCCAGAGGUUGACUUAUGUUUAUAAGGCCACCAUAGUGUACAGUAUUGAGCUGCAUUUAAUGCCAAACCCUUCUAGAAACUAUCCAUACACAUCAAAACUCUUGGAUCAUAGAUUAUUAUUUAGAAAGAAACUUAUAUUCAGGGCAAACUUUAUUUCUAUGGUUCUGGUUAUUUGUUCAGAGGCAGAUAUGGUGUUUAAUGAUGUGUUGUUAAAGGUGAACCGAUUACAGUGUAUAAAAGAAAAUGUAAUUAGACAGGCUACAAUGUAACAUUUUGAUGCACUUGUAAUAAAAUUCAUUUUAUUUUGAAACUUUAAGUUCACACAUGUUACUAAAGUUGAAUUUUAAUCUUUGAUGCAGAGUAAUAACCAGUGUUACUCUAUAAGUAACACUAAUAGAGUCAGAAAAUGAUCUAACAUUUCCUUUAGCACUAAUUUAGGGUAUGCAUAGCGCCUUAUUUUGUCUUACCAUCGGUCCAAAAGCACACCGGUAUUAUUUUAGGAGGCUGUAAUUAUUUUGCACUGACCUCUUAUCAAACUGAAAGUUUGUGGGAGCAAUUAUCAUGCCAGAUAAAAACAAGUGAUGUCAUACUAGUUUGAGAUGCAGAAUUUUAACUAUGUGCUGAUGCAUGAUUUCCCUCGAUUUCCUUUCCAGACCCGACAUGUAUGACACUCCGUCCACUUACAGAAGCACCUACGCUAAAUCGCCACCCAUGAAAUCAGGUCAAGAUGUUCCAGAUGCACCAAAGUCAUCACGUCUGAUCCCACUGUGGGUUCAGUUUGUGUUCUUCCUGGCUGUGGCAGUCUUCCUCUACUUAGUUUUUUCCACUAUGGAGAUAAAUGAACCCCUUAAAGGGAUAAAAUGAUUUUUUUUUAAACCAUUAUUUCCUUAUAUUGAAUUUAAAGGAAUGCACAUGAUUAAAUGCAUGCAUUUUAGACAUUUUAUGCAAGAUUGUGUUUUUAACAGCAGUACAUUCUCUGCUUAUGCUUUUAGGCAAAAUGUUUAUUUGUCAUUGAGCUUCAGUACAUUACCACUACUCGAAUCAACCAGCCUGCCACUUUAAAACACACUAAAAUCUUCCUUUUUUUAUCUGGACACAAGCUGUCCCUCCAUCGGCACAGUUUCAAGUGAUCUGUCGUGGUUUUAAGAGAUGAUCGUCCACAGCUUAGUCCAAAUAUGGCCGCAGUUGACCAUAAAACAUCCAAAGAUUAUCACGCAAGAUUUUGAAGCUCAUAUUUUAAAGCUUCAGCUGAUUGUCUCCUUUUAGCCUCUGCAGUUCACAGUGAAUCUGUCUGCAUGACCAAAAUUUGGGUGGCAGGGUUUUUUUUUUUCUUAAAUAAACAUCAAACUUGUACAACAUGCAUACAUUUCUCAAUAUUUUCCAAAUGUUAGAUGCAUUUUUGACAGGCUAUUUCCCUCAAAACAAAAACUCGUGGCACUGCGUCAAGCCAACCUGCAUAUCCACUUAGUUAUUCAAUAUGUACCCUUUUUUCCCUCAUCAUACUUCUAGUAAUGCAGGUGUUUCGGAUUCAUUGUGUAUUUUUAAAUAUUUGUAGUUUACGGGUCCAACAAUGUUUCCAUUUUUCAGUUAUCAAGUAUAUUUUGGACAUUUUCAAACCAGCUGUAAUGCAAGUGCCUCUGUGUAUUUGGAGAUUUUAAAAAAAAAGUCUGGGUGGGGUUAAAAAUGUAAAAGGUGCACUAGACGAGCUGUUGCCCCCAGCGUUAUGAGUUGAUUCAGUAUAAUUAAGCUGGAUAUCAUAUUUUUGUACUACAUAAUCCAACUUUAACAUCAGCCGGGUUUGUUGUGAUUUGUUUUGUAUUCCUGUUUCAAAACUGUAACUAUUAAAAACUAAGCUUAUAUAUGUAAACAUUUAAAGCUUUAGGUGUUUUGUUUUUUAUUGUAGCCACUUUAUUGGGUACACCUAUUCACCUGCUUGGUAAAGCAAAUAUCUUAUCAGCCCAUAACAUGUUAGGUAGACGCCGACCUGCUGAAGAUCAAUCUGACCAUUAGAAU
ensembl:lncRNA